rnacentral:ncRNA from 1 species
AGUCAGGAUCUUGGCGAUGUAAGGGAUCAACGGAAGAUUCAAAACCAGCAGAAACAGAUUGCCAACAUACAUGGAAGCGAUUACCGCCCAGAAGAUCUCUGGUUGAUCAAUAAAUAGCCUCGGUC